AUUGAACGCUGGCGGCAUGCCUUACACAUGCAAGUCGAACGGUAACAGGGAGCUUGCUCCGCUGACGAGUGGCGAACGGGUGAGUAAUGUAUCGGAACGUACCUUUUAGUGGGGGAUAACGUAGCGAAAGUUACGCUAAUACCGCAUAUUCUCUGAGGAGGAAAGCAGGGGACCUUCGGGCCUCGCGCUAAUAGAUCGGCUGAUAUCAGAUUAGCUAGUUGGUGAGGUAAAGGCUCACCAAGGCGACGAUCUGUAGCGGGUCUGAGAGGAUGAUCCGCCACACUGGAACUGAGACACGGUCCAGACUCCUACGGGAGGCAGCAGUGGGGAAUUUUGGACAAUGGGGGCAACCCUGAUCCAGCCAUGCCGCGUGAGUGAAAAAGGCCUUCGGGUUGUAAAGCUCUUUCGGCCGGGAAAAAAUCGCAUGGGUUAAUACCCUGUGUGGAUGAUGGUACCGGAAUAAGAAGCACCGGCUAACUACGUGCCAGCCGCCGCCGUAA
rnacentral:rRNA from 1 species